rnacentral:lncRNA from 1 species
UUGUUUCCGCUCCCGCCCAGGACUGUGCGCUCGGCUCGCGGUGGGGUCCGGCGGGCGCGGCUUCGGCGGGCGGCAGCCGCUGCAGACGAGCUGCGGAGACGGAGUUUCGUCAUGUUGGCCAGGCCCAUUUGAGAUCUUUGAAGAUAUCCUCAACGUGAGGCUCUGCUGCCAUGAAGGUGAAGAUUAAGUGCUGGAACGGCGUGGCCACUUGGCUCUGGGUGGCCAACGAUGAGAACUGUGGCAUCUGCAGGAUGGCAUUUAACGGAUGCUGCCCUGACUGUCCUCUCCAUGGAGAAAGCAUUUCUAGGUGUUUGGGCUGGUGCCCGCAGCCUGUGCCUGUCCUGGGAGGCAGGGCCCAUCCACAGGCAAGGUGCCCGGCGACGACU